CCCAUUGGUCCACAGGAGCCCAGGGCGGGGGGUCUCAGAUUCCUGCUUGGGCCUUUGUUCUCCUGUCCCAGCUCAGGUCCUGUGGCGGGAACUUUUACCAUCUUUAGUAGCCCUUCCUGCCAGCCCAACAGGGAGACUUUCUUUGGUGUCAUCAUGUUU